GACGAACGCUGGCGGCGCGCCUAACACAUGCAAGUCGAGCGAGAGCCAACCCUUCGGGGUUGGGGACAGCGGCGAACGGGUGAGUAACACGUGGGUAACCCACCCUCGGUUCUGGGAUAGCCCGGGGAAACCCGGAUUAAUACCGGAUGGCCUUCCGAGCCCUCGGGCGCGGCAGAAAAGGUAGCUUCGGCCUCCGACCGAGGACGGGCCCGCGGCCGAUUAGCUUGUUGGUGGGGUAACGGCCCACCAAGGCGACGAUCGGUAGCUGGUCUGAGAGGACGAUCAGCCACACUGGGACUGAGACACGGCCCAGACUCCUACGGGAGGCAGCAGUGGGGAAUCUUGCGCAAUGGGCGGAAGCCUGACGCAGCGACGCCGCGUACGGGAAGAAGGCCUUCGGGUUGUAAACCGUUUUCAGGAGGGACGAAGCCACUCGGGUUAACAGCCCAGAGGGUGACGGUACCUCCAGAAGAAGCCCCGGCUAACUACGUGCCAGCCGCCGCCGUAACAC
rnacentral:rRNA from 1 species